GUCUAUGGCCAUGCCACCCUGAACAAGCCUGGUUAGUACUUGGAUGAGAGACCACCUAGGAAGACCAGGUGCUGUAGGCG
rnacentral:rRNA from 1 species